rnacentral:rRNA from 1 species
CGCGUAGGCGGCCUUCUAAGUCGGACGUGAAAUCCCUCGGCUUAACCGAGGAACUGCGUCCGAUACUGAAAGGCUUGAAUCCGGGAGAGGGAUGUGGAAUUCCAGGUGUAGCGGUGAAAUGCGUAGAUAUCUGGAGGAACACCGGUGGCGAAGGCGGCAUCCUGGACCGGUAUUGACGCUGAGGCGCGAAAGCUAGGGGAAGCAAACG